GCGCGAACCCGUCUCUGUGGCAAAAGAGUGGUAAGAGCUUCGAGUAGAGGUGACAGACCUACCGAACCUAGUAAUAGCUGGUUGCCUGGGAACUGGAUAGAAGUUCAGCCUCAUGGCUUCUCCCUUCACCUCCGUACUAACUUCCUCCGGAUACUGUAAGAAACCAUGAGAGUUAGUCAAAGGGGGUACAGCCCCUUUGAACCAAGAUACAACUUUUACAGGUGGGUAAAGAUCAUAAUAAUUAAGGAAAAAUGUUUGGGUGGGCCUAAAAGCAGCCAUCCCCAUAGAAAGCGUUAAAGCUCCGACAUACUCUUCCUCCUCUUAUCCUGAUAACUUUAUCUUAACCCCCUAACCUUACCAGGCCGCCCCAUGCCAACAUGGGCGUGACCAUGCUAAUAUGAGUAAUAAGAGAGCCCUACCCCUCUCUCCUCGCACACGUGUAAAUCGGAACGGACUACCCACCGAAACUUAACGGCCCCAAACAAAGAGGGUAUUGAAAAAUUACCUAAGCAAACCAGAAAACCAUCCAUCUCCUUACCGUUAACCCCACACUGGUGUGCCACAAAGGAAAGACUAAAAGAAAGAGAAGGAACUCGGCAAACACAUGAAGCCUCGCCUGUUUACCAAAAACAUCGCCUCUUGCAAAACUAAAGAAUAAGAGGUCCCGCCUGCCCAGUGACAACUAGUUCAACGGCCGCGGUAUUUUGACCGUGCAAAGGUAGCGUAAUCACUUGUCUUUUAAAUGAAGACCUGUAUGAAUGGGCAUAACGAGGGCUUAGCUGUCUCCUCUAUCCAGUCAAUGAAAUUGAUCUCCCCGUGCAGAAGCGGGGGUAAAACCAUAAGACGAGAAGACCCUAUGGAGCUUUAGACACUAAGGCAGAUCACGUUAAACAACUCCCAAUAAGGAACAAAACUGAAUGAGUCCUGCUUAAAUGUCUUCGGUUGGGGCGACCAUGGGGAAAUAAAAAACCCCCACGUGGACUGGGAGCACCUUCCCCCUCUUCCCUCCUCCCAAAACUGAGAGCUACCGCUCUAAUUAACAGAAAUUCUGACCAAAAAUGAUCCGGCAACGCCGAUCAACGGACCAAGUUACCCUAGGGAUAACAGCGCAAUCCCCUUUUAGAGCCCAUAUCGACAAGGGGGUUUACGACCUCGAUGUUGGAUCAGGACAUCCUA
rnacentral:rRNA from 1 species